rnacentral:ncRNA from 1 species
CAGCGUGCUUCUUACAAUCUGGGCUACACACGUGCUACAAUGGGCGUUACAAAGGGCUGCCAAGCCGUAAGGCGGAGCAAAUCCAAAAAAACGUCCUCAGUUCGGAUUGAGGUCUGCAACUCGACCUCAUGAAGCUGGAAUCGCUAGUAAACGUGGAUCAGCCUCGCCACGUUGAAUACGUUCUCGGGUCUUGUACACAAAAUUAAAGGCGCCCGGCUGUUAUUAAAACUAGGUUGUUAAAAUCAACCCCUCU